UACAUUAGGCAUAGGGCAUUGGGUGGAGUCACCUCACUCCUCAGUAAAUCUACCAAAUCAUUUCCUGAGGCCAGAUCCUCUUAGACACUCUCACCAGGUAAUGGCAGCUAUGUCCCAUCUUAGAACAAAUGGAAGAUGUCCCAAGAGAAAAAUGUUUGAGAAUAAAAGGGUCAACUCCUCUUCUGUGCCAAGUCUUACUCAUUGUUGACCUUAGAGAAUUUGAAUUGGACUUUUAUUUUACAGGAGUUCUGAUAAACUCCAUGGAACUACAGACUUUCUUCCUCAAAACAAUCAUUGUAUGUGUUGUAGGAUAUUGGCUGAACAAGACAGGUGUGGCCAGAGAUGAUUGGUAUGAGGCUGAGGACCUGAAAAGGAGCAAUGUAAAUGGGUACAGAAACAUCCCAGGCCCAAUAUUAGAACACAGCCAUGCCA
rnacentral:lncRNA from 1 species